rnacentral:rRNA from 1 species
CAAUAGCGUAUAUUAAAGUUGUUGCGGUUAAAAAGCUCGUAGUUGGAUUUCUGCUGAGAACGACCGGUCCGCCCUCUGGGUGUGUAUCUGGCUCUUUCUUGGCAUCUUCUUGGUGAACGUUGCUGCACUUGACUGUGUGGAGCGCUACCCAGGACUUUUACUUUGAGGAAAUUAGAGUGUUUCAAGCAGGCAUACGCCUUGAAUACAUUAGCAUGGAAUAAUAAGAUAGGACCUCGGUUCUAUUUUGUUGGUUUCUAGAGCUGAGGUAAUGAUUAAUAGGGAUAGUUGGGGGCAUUCGUAUUUAACUGUCAGAGGUGAAAUUCUUGGAUUUGCUAAAGACGGACUACUGCGAAAGCAUUUGCCAAGGAUGUUUUCAUUG